CACCACACAUGCUCAAAUGGUCCCUGCGAGGCCCUAAAGGCCCGCGGGGGGAGAAGGAACCUUUGCAGGCCCCUCCCCACAGCCUUUAGGAAGCCCCCCGAAGGGGCUACAGGAUGCUGUCUUUCCCCGUAUUGUUGGCAGAGCCUGGGCCUCUCCUUCAUCCCUCAAUGCAUCUGUAUUGAACACUUUGAAGUCUGCGUGAAGUCCAUAUUAUAAGCAUCAUUUAAAUAGAUUGGAACAGAAGAUCAUACCUGGAAGAUGCAGCUGAAGAUGCUGCUGCUGCCCCACCCUGAGGAAAAGGCACUAAGAAAAACAUGGCCUUGAAAUUACCUUGGAUUUGACAGGGCAUAGAAGGUGGGGAUUGCAUUUGACGAGUAAGAGACAGGAAGACCUGCCACAGAUAAGCAAAGGUGAUUAUGGCUGCAUUAUGGGAAGACAGGCACAAUAACUUCCUCUUCAAAGACAAGACUGCAGCCACUGUUCUUAUCUGUGAAUAGAUUAUAUUUUAAUAAAAAGACAGUGACUAACACCACCAAA